GAUGAACGCUGGCGGCGUGCUUAACACAUGCAAGUCGAACGGAAAGGCUCCUGCUUGCAGGGGUACUCGAGUGGCGAACGGGUGAGUAACACGUGGGUGAUCUGCCCUGCACUUCGGGAUAAGCCUGGGAAACUGGGUCUAAUACCGGAUAGGACGAUGGUUUGGAUGCCAUUGUGGAAAGUUUUUUCGGUGUGGGAUGAGCUCGCGGCCUAUCAGCUUGUUGGUGGGGUAAUGGCCUACCAAGGCGUCGACGGGUAGCCGGCCCGAGAGGGUGUACGGCCACAUUGGGACUGAGAUACGGCCCAGACUCCUACGGGAGGCAGCAGUGGGGAAUAUUGCACAAUGGGCGCAAGCCUGAUGCAGCGACGCCGCGUGGGGGAUGACGGCCUUCGGGUUGUAAACUCCUUUCGCUAGGGACGAAGCGCAAGUGACGGUACCUGGAGAAGAAGCACCGGCUAACUACGU
rnacentral:rRNA from 1 species